UAUUGGUGAGCUACCAUCAGCAAAGAACGUCCGCCACUCUUCUUAUUUACUAACUAGUUUCAAAGUCCUAUUGUAUAUGCUUAUAAAACAUUACGCAGUAUAGGUUAUAAUAAUAUUUUAAAUAAGAUUCUUUCCUUUAUACUUCAUUCGAAGCCAAAGGAGCUUUUUAACGCAAGUUUUUUUCAUUACUGAGACUCUGAGAGUGAAUUUACUUCCUAGUGUUGGAGCUGAGGUGGCUAAAAAGUUACCGACUCAGGUCUCAAUAUAAAGUUAUAGUCAUGGGUUUUUGCUUUGGUGAUCAUCUGUUAAAGGUAUCAGAGGAAGAAUCCUGCUUACCUGAGAGACAGAGAGAAGCUGCAGAUGCCAGGGACAUGAGGGUGCCUCCUAUACAUCAUCCAUCCUUGGGUCAGGCAGAGCAGCCCCAAAUGUCUCCUUUUCCAGACCUUAUGCAGUUGUUGGGUUUUAACAGUGAUUCAGAAUCAAGCUCAGAUGCCAUAUUUUCCAACAGUAAGUCCAUAAUGCUCUCAUGGGAAUCUUAUUAUAGUGGAGCCUUCAUUAUAAUUAAUUAUAGUGCUUAAACUGAUGGUGAGCUUAGUAAUUCAGUUAUGUUCUUCAUUAUCUUUACUAUUUUCACUCGACACAUGGAUUACAACCAAGAAGUCAAGAAGGUGGAAUCCAGUAAGUUUUCUGAGGUGUGUGUUUUUGUGUAAAUAUGUGUAUAUGUCAGAGGAUUUGUUGUGUCUAUUCUUCCACUACAAUUUUUCACUACGUUUGUCUAGGUAAAGUUAGUCCAAGAAUUGAAAAAAAUUGUUCCUAUUUUGUUGUUGCUUUAUAGAAUGCAAAUGAAUGAGACUGACUUACGUCUAGACUACUAUUGUUAUUCGUUCCUCGGUACUAUUGUUAUUCGUUCAAUAUUGUGGUGCCAAGGCUAACGAUCCUUCUGGCAGUAAGUAGUGUGGUUGUGAUCUAUAUCUGGCGUCUAAUCUGGCUGCUAGUCUAAAAAACCGUUUGAUGGUUAUUAAUGCAUUUGAUAGUUCAUGGUGAGUGAAGAUCAAUGAAUGUCACCUACUGCAAGUACAAUUUUUAAAUGUUACCACACUUCUGCAUUACUGCUGUUUUAUUUGUUGCAAGUGAUGCAGUAUGAAUCUAUCAUUCCUUUCAUUUUGUUCUACAAUGGUUUUGCGUACUUCUGUUCGGUUAUUUCCUUGUUGAAAUUUGUCGUUUACGUGAUGUACGGGAAGAUGGUGUGCUGUGAUGGUGCAUCAGGAAGUAUGUUAGUCCCGAUGUUCAUCAGUGACUGCUGUCGAUCGUAAGUAUACAUAUACUCAUCAAAGCAGCGCCGGACACCUACAUCCAAAUGCCCUGCACUUAAUUAAUCAUUACAUGUACUUGCAAACAGAAAGAUAAAACAUCAGUCCAACUUCCAAGUUUAGAACAUGAUGUUGUUGAUACAAAAUUAAUUUGAAAACAAAUUGUAUGCUCAUCAGCUAUAUGAUGAAUGUCACAAUUGCAGCAGAUACUACUCUGCAUCUCUUGGAUUGAGCUUAAGAAACAACCGGUUCAAAUGGUGCGUGUUACGGGUAAUUGAGUAUAAGAAAGACUUUUGUGGUUGUCGCGAGCUCAUGUGUAUUCUGUGGUGAUUUAUCUGCCGUAGAACGAGAGCCACAAACUGCGUUUGGCUGAGGGAGUGCGCUGCUCGCCGCCAAACAAGGGGAGAAACGUCAACAUGAUCGUCGUUGCCGACCUGCACGUUCCAGCCGCUUCAAGACAGCUUAACCAACAUUAUUAUACUCAUUACUAAUGUGAACUGAAAACAUGCACUCGUUUUUCAUUUCUAAAAUGAUGUUUAAGGCCCAUGAAGUCCAAUGUGUUAUAUUGUUCCGGAUUGGAGCCUUGCAAGUUAUUGCUUGUCCUUAUCAAACAUCUUGUCUUGAGUGCUAGUGGAAAAUUUAAAUGACAGGGGUCAUUCCUACCACUGGUUAUAUAUACUCUAACUGGCAAUAUUUUAUGCAGUAUGAUCAUCUCAUUGCCAUGUGGUAUUCUUUAGUAUUAAGCAUAGGUGUUAUUUAUCCCACAUGCGCUUUUUUCUCUUAUGUUCAUGCCCUAGACGACGCAUAUCACCGAAGGCUUGUCGCAGAAGGCGUCGAGCUCGCUCCGGUUGUAGUGAACGCUCAGAUCACGCGAAUGGUGAUAGCAAUUUCCCUUCAUUUAGCGGCGAUACUGGCAAGAGGACAUCGAAUCAUGUUCUAGAUGAGGAGGUCAUUCCAGCGAAGAAAAUCAGGCUGGAUUUACCAUACAAGUCUAUUUUGAAGAAGACAAGAUCCAGGCGCCGCUUCAGUACGCCAAGAAGAACGUUUUUCGUGGACUCUCCCACCACGCUGGAAUACGCUAGCUCGCGACCACCUUGUGAAAUAAGAUACCUUGCUGAGUUACAGUCUCAAAUGUCUUUGUGUUUUGAUGACGGUGUAUGGUUCAAAAAGACCGUUUAUUCUUCUGAUGAUAGCUCUUGAAAAUUGCAGCAAUUGUAGAAUAUACCACCGUUAUUUUUUUUUCAACUUAGAUUUAUGUAGGUAUCUUACCGCUUGAGUUAAGCCCUUAUAUUUUGCCUGGAAACUUGCCGGGUUGCUGACUUGACUUCUCAAUUCUGGUCUUAGAGAGUAAUGUUGCAUUAUCAUUUAGUGUUUUUAGUCUUAAGGUUAUGGAAUGUUCUAAAUUUUAUAAUAAACUGUUUCCAUAAA